UAAGGGGUGGGUGGAAUUUUGAGG
rnacentral:piRNA from 1 species